rnacentral:rRNA from 1 species
GACGAACGCUGGCGGCGUGCUUAACACAUGCAAGUCGAACGGAAAGGCCCUGCUUUUGUGGGGUGCUCGAGUGGCGAACGGGUGAGUAACACGUGAGUAACCUGCCCUUGACUUUGGGAUAACUUCAGGAAACUGGGGCUAAUACAGGAUAGGAGCUCCUGCUGCAUGGUGGGGGUUGGAAAGUUUCGGCGGUUGGGGAUGGACUCGCGGCUUAUCAGCUUGUUGGGGGGGUAGUGGCUUACCAAGGCUUUGACGGGUAGCCGGCCUGGGAGGGUGACCGGCCACAUUGGGACUGAGGUACGGCCCAGACGCCUACGGGAGGCAGCAGUGGGGAGUAUUGCGCAAUGGGCGGAAGCCUGAGGCAGCAGCGCCGCGUGCGGGAUGACGGCCUUCUGGUUGUAAACCGCUUUCGCCUGUGACGAAGCGUGAGUGACGGUAAUGAGUAAAGAAGCACCGGCUAACUACGUG